UACGGGGGGGGCAAGCGUUGUUCGGAAUUACUGGGCGUAAAGGGCUCGUAGGCGGCCAACUAAGUCGGACGUGAAAUCCCUCGGCUUAACCGGGGAACUGCGUCCGAUACUGGAUGGCUUGAGGUUGGGAGAGGGAUGCGGAAUUCCAGGUGUAGCGGUGAAAUUCGUAGAUAUCAAGUGGAACACCGGUGGCGAAGGCGGCCAUCUGGACGGUGACUGACGCUGAGACGCGAAAGCGUGGGUAGCAAACAGG
rnacentral:rRNA from 1 species